GAUGAACGCUAGCGGCAGGCCUAAUACAUGCAAGACGAACGGUAAGUUGAGUAGCAAUACUUAGCCAAGAGUGUCGUACGGGUGCGUAACACGUAUGCAACCUACCCUAUACAGGAGGAUAGCCUAGGGAAACCUGGAUUAACCCUUCAUAGUAUUAUUGGAUGGCAUCAUUUGAUAAUUAAAAACUGAGGUGGUAUAGGAUGGGCAUGCGUCUGAUUAGUUAGUUGGCGGGUAAUGGCCCACCAAGACGAUGAUCAGUAGGGGUUCUGAGAGGAAGACUCCCCCACACUGGCACUGAGAUACGGCCCAGACUCCUACGGGAGCAGCAGGUGGGGAAUAUUGGACAAUGGGCGCAAGCCUGAUCCAGCAACGCCGCGUGAAUGAUG
rnacentral:rRNA from 1 species